GUCUCUGAUGGCAAACUGCAAACCUCCCUGGCUCUUGACAGCAUCAACCCGACACGGUUCCCCCAAAGCCUUGAUGCUGCCAGUGCCUCCUCGCUGACAGAAUGGCUCAAGAAGGUCCUCACAGCUGUUUAUGUACCUUCUGUUCAAGGUAUGGGGGUCAGGAUCCCCUCUCAUCUCAGAUCCAGUUGGAUUUGAGGCUCUCCCCCUCCCUUUGGUGCCUUCAUUCUGGGUUUCAUCCCUGUGAUGAGAUUCCUACACCUGUUUUUGCAGAUGCCCUCCGUGUGUCGGUUCCACUGCCCAACGUCCUGAACACCAACCUCAGGAACGCUGCAGUUGCCAUCACUGAUGAGGAUGAGUUUUCUGGCCAGAGCACUCUGGGAAGAUCCUGCUCGGGGGGAACCUCGUUGCUGCUCCCUUUCUGAGGCAGCACAUGCACCCCAAGCCCUGCUCUGCUCCACUCUCUCCCUCUUCCUUUCUCUCCAGUGCUGCUCUGUGCUGUGGCUGUGGCCUGAGCAGGACAGGCAGCAGCCUCUGGCUUGGCUGGUGGAUGUUUGGGGGUUCCUGUGGCCCCUUUUAACAUCCACAGCCAGAAGGCAGACAACUCUUAGGCACAUAGGCUGCUCUCGUAUUGCUCUUUCAAUAAAAUCUCUCCCUGUCACAGUAUUUU
rnacentral:lncRNA from 1 species